GACGUAGGGCGCGAGCGUUGUCCGGAUUUAUUGGGCGUAAAGAGCGUGUAGGCGGCCUGAAAGGUCAGCUGUGAAAACUCGAGGCUUAACCUCGAGACGUCGGUUGAAACCAUCUGGCUAGAGUCCGGAAGAGGAGAGUGGAAUUCCCGGUGUAGUGGUGAAUAUGCGUAGAUAUCGGGAGGAACACCAGUGGCGAAGGCGGGUCUCUGGGCAGUAACUGACGCUGAGGAGCGAAAGCGUGGGGAGCGAACAGG
rnacentral:rRNA from 1 species